rnacentral:rRNA from 1 species
GACGAACGCUGGCGGCGUGCUUAACACAUGCAAGUCGAACGAUGAACCCGGAGCUUGCUCUGGGGGAUUAGUGGCGAACGGGUGAGUAACACGUGAGUAACCUGCCCUGGACUCUGGGAUAAGCGUUGGAAACGACGUCUAAUAACGGAUAGGACCUUGGAUCGCAUGAUCUGGGGUGGAAAGUUUUUUCGGUCUGGGAUGGACUCGCGGCCUAUCAGCUUGUUGGUGAGGUAAUGGCUCACCAAGGCGUCGACGGGUAGCCGGCCUGAGAGGGUGACCGGCCACACUGGGACUGAGACACGGCCCAGACUCCUACGGGAGGCAGCAGUGGGGAAUAUUGCACAAUGGGCGAAAGCCUGAUGCAGCAACGCCGCGUGCGGGAUGACGGCCUUCGGGUUGUAAACCGCUUUUAGUAGGGAAGAAGGGCUUCGGCUUGACGGUACCUGCAGAAAAAGGACCGGCUAACUACGUG